AUUGUUUAUUUCAUACAUAUGACUUUUUGAUUUGCAUUCCAACAUAUCAUAUAUAAUUGUGACUUUUUUCCUAGGCAUUUUGUGACUUUUUUCCUUUUUCAUAAAUGCACAAAGAGACGUUAACUCAUUUAAUUUUCAUUUACAUUUGGAAAGGUAUUUUGAUAUGAAUUUAAGUUUGCAACUUAUUUUUAUGCCCCAUUAUUAUGCCCCAUUUAUGGGCAUUAUGUUUUCUGGUCUGUGCGUCCGUCCAUUCGUUCGUCCGUUUUCCGUUCGUUCGUCUGUCCUUCCGUUCUAUCAACUUGAAACUUUGUACACAUGUUCCUUAUGAUAUGGUCUUUCUAAUUUUUAUGCCAAAUUAGAGUUUUGACCCCAAUUUACGGUCCACUGAACAUAGAAAAUGAUAGUGCGAUUGGGGCAUCCAUGUACUAUGGACACAUUCUUGUUUAAGAAAUGAAAUAAUAUAUAUUUAUUUAUUUCAGUGAAUCAGACCUAUGUGGUACAGAGAGGUCAACAGUAUUAUUAUACAACAUGGCAUCAAGCAGCAAACAAAAGUGCAUGUGUACAAUCUGUAAUGGAAAGACUGUUCCAAGAAAAACAUUCAAAAUACAUUGCACAAAGACCCAUGCUAGUCAUCUGAACUCAAUAUCACAAUUGGACAAUGUUUCAACGGACAGUUACAGUAAAAAAGUACAGGCACAGCAAGAAAAGAAUGAUCUUCAGGAACCAUUGUAUAAAGGAUCUUCUAGAACAUUGAUUGAAGCUAUAUCAGAACAUUUUCUUAUAUUUUCAUCAAACAGUGGAAUGUCCAAAGCAGCUUUAACUGAGUGCUUACAGCACGAGAAACGCAUCAUGCCUCAACCGAAUAGUUUACCAGCUUUAUACAAGGAAGCAGUUAAAAUGAUCAAACCAAGUUUAAUUCCUAUUAAACAGUACAAAUGUUGUGUGAAUGACUGUAAAAUAUAUCCAAUGAAUGACAGUAUCCGUGAGUGCACCAUUUGUACUGAAUCACUUCUGUAUAAAGACAGCAAUCGUUGUAAGAAGACAUUCAGCUAUAUGCCAGUUGUUCCAAGACUUGCUCGUUGGUUCGGAACAAAAAAUUUUGCGAAAAUACUUUAUGCAAAGAAACUCGACACAAAUGGUAAACUGUGUGACUAUACUGAUGGACAAAUAUUUCAAGCAGAAUUAGAUAAUGGUAUAUUUAAAGACACUGAUGUUGAGCACUGUGUACCACUUGCACUAUUUACUGAUGGUGUUAAUCCCAACAAAAACAAUGCUGCUCAGAAGUCUAUGUGGCCUAUCAUCUUGACUUGGAUAUCAUUGCCUCAGGAGAUUCGCUACCUUCUGGGACCAAUGAUGUUGGUUGGCAUUAUCCCAGGGAAUGGCAGAAAAGAGCCUAAGUCUUUGGAUCCAUAUAUCACAAUAUUGGUUGAUGAGUUGCUAUCCAAUAUGGAAUGUCAGCUUUAUGAUUCCCACAAAGAUGCUCCAGUGACAGUUAAGAUAGCGCUUCUUCAAUAUCUGUGUGAUAUUCCAGCCUUUGCAAAAUUACUGCACUUAUCAGGUCAAGCAGCAUUAAGAUCAUGCACGUUCUGCAAAGAAGUUGGUGUAAGGAACAAUUCCCUGAACAAAACAAUCCACAUAUCAAACAGACAGUUCCUAAGUGAUGAUUCUGCCUAUAGACUUGACUGCACAAACUUUGCGCUUAAAACUGUUGUCAACGGUCCAAAGCCUGCGUUUUACUCUAAAGAUGAAGAAAUGGCAGCACGUAAAGAUUUUGAUUCGAAACCGAACAAGAACCAAAAGACCAUCCACCAGAAAGAAACUGGUUUAAGAGGCAUUCAUCCCUUAUAUCCACUUCCUUAUUUUGACAGACUAAAGCAAAUGCAAACCGAUGGUAUGCAUACCAUUUCAGAUGUUAUUUCAAAUGUGUUAGAUUUCAUUAGUGGGAAGACUGACAGUGCAAAAGUGCGAAAUUGUGAGAAGCAAUACAACAGAUUUGAGCAAACUUGGGUGAGCAAUAAGAGAAAGAGUACAGAUCAGGGAAAACAACCAAAAAAAACCCAGAAAAAACAGUCAGAGCCCCAGCCUACAAAUGUUGUCACAGAAGAAGAAAUCAGCUUUCCAGAUGCUCCAUGGUCUCUCUCAAAGAGUUAAGUAAAACUUGCUGACAAAAGAGCAGAAUCUAUACAGUACCCUCGAGGUUUUGACUAUACACCUGCUGACCAUUUCUCCAGACAGUGGACACUACGUACAAUGCAUGGAAAGCAACAGUUUGUGACUCAAAAUGUUGCUUCAUGGUGUCUAAGAGGUCUACUAGGACAGCAACAAGAGAAGACACUUUUUCAACUAUUUGAUGUGUUGAGCAGACUUGUUAAACCUUCAUACCUGAAAGAUGAAAUUCCAACUUUGAUAGAAGACACCCAUAUUGCUGUGACACUACUUGAGAGAGAUUUUCCACUUACGUUACAGAAUUUGACGACACAUUUACUUCACCACAUACCUGAGGGGUUUAUGGAUUUUGGACCAUUAUAUGAUAGGUGGUUGUAUCCACUAGAAAGAGCAAAUAGCUGGAUAACAAGACAGAUUUUACAGCAUGGGCAUGAAGAAUCUACAGUCAUGCAAACAUACUGUAUAUAUGACUGGAGUGUUUUCAAUUUGCUCAAUAGAACAGUAAAAUCUGACAGUAGCAGGAAGAAUGCACUCCAUAAAGUUGCAGAGAAAGUUCUGCCACGUGAGGAAUAUCCUGCUACCAGUGUCAAUAGUAUAUUAUCCAACAGCUUAUUACCAAGGGAGGACAUUAAAAAUCUACAUUGUAGAUACAAAGAAAUUUUUACAAACUUAGAGUUUGAACCAUUUGAGAUAGAUCCAAUAGUAGAGAAGAAAAAUACAGUGUUCAGAUAUGAUGAAGACCGCAAGAGAGAGGUGUAUUUCACUACUUAUUUGUAUCAGUCAGUGUCUAGAUCAUGUGACUACAUUGUAUGUGUAAGACAUCCAACAAUGCUGUUUGGAAAAAUCAAGCAGAUAUACCAACACUCUUUCAUGGACAAUGUCUUUACUUGGGUACAACUAGAUGUAUUUCCUUUACCAGAGGCAAGUGGAUCUUUUUGGUUUUCAGAGAAUGUAACCUUAACUUCAAAAUUAUGUCUUUUGAAAGAUAUCAGCAAUCCUAUUGUCACAGCAGUUGAAGAUGGUGUUAUUUGGUUUUUAAAUGCUUAAACCACAUGUUAAAAAGUUAAUUGUUGUAUAUGUUGUGUACAAAUUAUAAUUUGUACAGACUUUUUGUACAAGUUGUCAGUUUUCUGUGAACAUCUUUACAUAAAUAGAUAAAAUUAUAAGCAUACUGUCUUUGGUUAUGCCUAUCUCUGUCAUUAUUUUAAUAAUAACUCUAUGCUACAGUCUUGUAUAUAGAAUUUCAAGAACGUUUUUAUACAAGAAGACUAUAUGGUAUUUUGUGAACAUCUAGUCAAAGAGGACAGCACUUAAUUAUAGAUCGAAGUAUAUAAACUUGCUUGCAAACAUAGAGCUGGAUAUUUUAAGAAAAUAGUCUUGUAGCACCUUCUGAAAGAAUGGGUAUAACAAAAUACUGAUGACCUUUAUAAAUUAUAAUGUUUUCAAAAAGUGAUGAUAAAAACGACUGAUAAUUUACUUGAUGCUUUGUUAGAAAUUUUUUUUUGUAAGAAAGUGUAUUACUUCGCUGACUUACAAUGACUAAAAUGUGCUAAUUAAACUUGUAUAUAAUUUAUGAUUCCUGUACAUGUGUCAAUCAUAUAUAAAGUUUUAUUUAUUGAACAUGUUUCAAAUCUGUUGAUAGUUAUUUAACAGAUAUUUAAUAACUUCAUAAGGUAUGCCUGUGCCAUGUGCAAGGAUCUCUGUAAAUUGAAGUUUUCCUAAUUUAGAUAAAUGAAUAUGUCAAUAAUUAGACUGUGUUUGGUAUGCCCGUGCUUUGUGCAGGGUACCUUUGUACUUUCAAAUUUUCCUAUUUGAAAUAAAUAUUUUUUUUUGGUGGACUGCGUUUAUGGUAUGCCAAUGCCAAUGCCUUAAAUUAGAAUCAGUAAACAUGUAAGUCCAUUUGAAAAAGCUGUUAUACAAAAAAAAAUGAUUUUUUGUAGUAAACAAUUCAUAAAUUUAUUUAAAAUACCUUUUAAGACAUUUUUCUCUUUCUUUUUUGAAUAUUUGUAUCAUAUCAUGUUUAAAUUCUUUUAAAUUGGUGAAAUCCUAAUGAAUUUAAAUUUCCUACCAUGAAAACUUCAUC